rnacentral:rRNA from 1 species
AUAGCAUAUCAAUAAGCGGGAGGAAAAGAAACUAACAAGGAUUCCCCUAGUAACUGCGAGUGAAGCGGGAAAAGCUCAAAUUUAAAAUCUGGCGGUCUUUGGCCCGUCCGAGUUGUAAUCUAGAGAAGUAAUGCCCGUGCUGGACCGUGUAUAAGUCUCCUGGGAUGGGGCGUCAUAGAGGGUGAGAAUCCCGUCUUUGACACGGACUACCAGUGCAUUGUGGUAUGCUCUCAAAGAGUCGAGUUGUUUGGGAAUGCAGCUCAAAAUGGGUGGUAAAUUCCAUCUAAAGCUAAAUAUUGGCGAGAGACCGAUAGCGAACAAGUACCGUGAGGGAAAGAUGAAAAGAACUUUGGAAAGAGAGUUAAACAGUACGUGAAAUUGCUGAAAGGGAAACGCUUGAAGUCAGUCGCGUUGGCCAGGGAUCAGCCUUGCUUUUGCAUGGUGUACUUUCUGGUUGACGGGUCAGCAUCAAUUUUGACCGCUGGAAAAAGGCUUGGGGAAUGUGGCAGCAUUGGCUGUGUUAUAGCCCCUGGUCACAUACAGCGGUUGGGAUUGAGGAACUCAGCACGCCGCAAGGCCGGGUUUCGACCACGUUCGUGCUUAGGAUGCUGGCAUAAUGGCUUUAAGCGACCCGUCUUGAAACACGGACCAAGGAGUCUAACAUGCCUGCGAGUAUUUGGGUGGAAAACCCGAGUGCGCAAUGAAAGUGAAAGUUGAGAUCCCUGUCGUGGGGAGCAUCGACGCCCGGACCAGAACUUUUGCGACGGAUCCGCGGUGGAGCAUGUAUGUUGGGACCCGAAAGAUGGUGAACUAUGCCUGAAUAGGGUGAAGCCAGAGGAAACUCUGGUGGAGGCUCGUAGCGAUUCUGACGUGCAAAUCGAUCGUCAAAUUUGGGUAUAGGGGCGAAAGACUAAUCGAACCAUCUAGUAGCUGGUUCUGCGACUUUUUCUCCCCCGAGAGAAAGAAAA